rnacentral:tRNA from 1 species
AGAAAGCCAUAGAGGUUAUGGGACUGGUUUGAAACCAGUUUUUGGAGGUUCAAUUCCUUCACUUUUUG